GAUGAACGCUGGCGGCGUGCCUAAUACAUGCAAGUCGAGCGAACGGACGAGAAGCUUGCUUUUCUGAUGUUAGCGGCGGACGGGUGAGUAACACGUGGAUAACCUACCUAUCAGACUGGGAUAACUUCGGGAAACCGGAGCUAAUACCGGAUAAUAUUUUGAACCGCAUGGUUCAAAAGUGAAAGACGGUCUUUCUGUCACUUAUAGAUGGAUCCGCGCUGCAUUAGCUAGUUGGUAAGUUAACGGCUUACCAAGGCAACGAUGCAUAGCCGACGCGAGGGGGUGAUAGGCCACACGGGAACUGAGCCACGGUCCAGACGCCUACGGGAGGCAGCAGUAGGGAAUCUUCCGCAAUGGGCGAAAGCCUGACGGAGCAACGCCGCGUGAGUGAUGAAAGUCUUCGGAUCGUAAAAAUCUGUUAUUAGGGAAGAACAUAUGUGUAAGUACCUGUGCACAUCGUGACGGUACCUAAUCAGAAAGCCACGGCUAACUACGUG
rnacentral:rRNA from 1 species